rnacentral:rRNA from 1 species
GACAGAGGGUGCAAACGUUGUUCGGAAUUACUGGGCGUAAAGCGCGUGUAGGCGGCCUGCUAAGUCGAACGUGAAAUCCCUGGGCUCAACCCAGGAACUGCGUCCGAUACUGGUUGGCUUGAAUCCGGGAGAGGGACGUGGAAUUCCAGGUGUAGCGGUGAAAUGCGUAGAUAUCUGGAGGAACACCGGUGGCGAAGGCGACGUCCUGGACCGGCAUUGACGCUGAGGCGCGAAAGCCAGGGGAGCAAACGGG